UACGUAGGGGGCAAGCGUUGUCCGGAAUCAUUGGGCGUAAAGAGCGUGUAGGCGGCCAGAUAAGUCCGCUGUGAAAUCUCGAGGCUCAACUUCGAGCUGUCGGUGGAAACUGUCUGGCUAGAGUCCGGAAGAGGAGAAUGGAAUUCCUGGUGUAGCGGUGAAAUGCGUAGAUAUCUGGAGGAACACCGGUGGCGAAGGCGGCAUCCUGGACCAACACUGACGCUGAGGAGCGAAAGCCAGGGGAGCAAACGGG
rnacentral:rRNA from 1 species